AUUGGUCUCUCCUGAAAUAUUAAUUAUUAUAAUAAUUAAAAAAAUUAUCUUUAUAUUCAAAUAAAAGAUCCUUAAAUCUAAUAAAUGUGAUACCUUUGGAUCUGAUUUCCAACACCAUCUCAUAAGAUCAGCAAAUUUUGGAGGACAGGAUUUUGGAAUAGCCCAAGCUACUUGAAAGCCUUCUAUACCUUUAAAUGGCACUUCAUGAGUGAAAAGUUCCCAAAGCACAACACCAUAUGACCAUACAUCGCAUGCUUCUGAUACUGUUACUUCGGGGGCCAUCCACGGUAAAGUUCCGGCAACAGACAUCUUUGUGGUGCCACCUAAGAAUCGAGAUGCUCCAAAGUCGCAUAUCUAAAAUAAGCAUCAUCAUGAAAUAUUACAUAAUUAGAGAAACUAUCAAAAUUCUUGCUGUAUAAUUUAAUGCAUUACUUACCUUACAAACAAAA